GACAGCCAGGAUGUUGGCUUAGAAGCAGCCAUCAUUUAAAGAAAGCGUAAUAGCUCACUGGUCGAGUCGGCCUGCGCGGAAGAUGUAACGGGGCUAAACCAUGCACCGAAGCUGCGGCAGCGACACUGUGUGUUGUUGGGUAGGGGAGCGUUCUGUAAGCCUGUGAAGGUGUACUGUGAGGUAUGCUGGAGGUAUCAGAAGUGCGAAUGCUGACAUAAGUAACGAUAAAGCGGGUGAAAAGCCCGCUCGCCGGAAGACCAAGGGUUCCUGUCCAACGUUAAUCGGGGCAGGGUGAGUCGACCCCUAAGGCGAGGCCGAAAGGCGUAGUCGAUGGGAAACAGGUUAAUAUUCCUGUACUUGGUGUUACUGCGAAGGGGGGACGGAGAAGGCUAUGUUGGCCGGGCGACGGUUGUCCCGGUUUAAGCGUGUAGGCUGGUUUUCCAGGCAAAUCCGGAAAAUCAAGGCUGAGGCGUGAUGACGAGGCACUACGGUGCUGAAGCAACAAAUGCCCUGCUUCCAGGAAAAGCCUCUAAGCAUCAGGUAACAUCAAAUCGUACCCCAAACCGACACAGGUGGUCAGGUAGAGAAUACCAAGGCGCUUGAGAGAACUCGGGUGAAGGAACUAGGCAAAAUGGUGCCGUAACUUCGGGAGAAGGCACGCUGAUAUGUAGGUGAAGUCCCUUGCGGAUGGAGCUGAAAUCAGUCGAAGAUACCAGCUGGCUGCAACUGUUUAUUAAAAACACAGCACUGUGCAAACACGAAAGUGGACGUAUACGGUGUGACGCCUGCCCGGUGCCGGAAGGUUAAUUGAUGGG
rnacentral:rRNA from 1 species